CCUACGGGUGGCAGCAGUGGGGGAUAUUGGACAAUGGGGGAAACCCUGAUCCAGCGACGCCGCGUGAGUGAAGAAGUAUUUCGGUAUGUAAAGCUCUGUCAGCAGGGAAGAAAGAAAUGACGGUACUUGACCAAGAAGCCCCGGCUAACUACGUGCCAGCAGCCGCGGUAAUACGUAGGGGGCAAGCGUUAUCCGGAAUUACUGGGUUUAAAGGGUGCGUAGGCGGACGCUUAAGUCAGCGGUAAAAUUGCGGGGCUAAACCUCGUCGAGCCGUUGACACUGGGUGCCUUGAGUGGGCGAGAAGUACGCAGAAUGCGAGGUGUAGCGGUGAAAUGCAUAGAGAUCACGCGGAACUCCGAUUGCGAAGGCAGCGUACCGGCGCACGACUGACGCUGAAGCGCGAAGGCGUGGGGAGCGAACAGGAUUAGAUACCCCGGUAGUC
rnacentral:rRNA from 1 species